GACGAACGCUGGCGGCGUGCUUAACACAUGCAGGUCGAACGGAAAGGCCCUGCUUUUGUGGGGUGCUCGAGUGGCGAACGGGUGAGUAACACGUGAGUAACCUGCCCUUGACUUUGGGAUAACUUCAGGAAACUGGGGCUAAUACCGGAUAGGAGCUCCUGCUGCAUGGUGGGGGUUGGAAAGUUUCGGCGGUUGGGGAUGGACUCGCGGCUUAUCAGCUUGUUGGUGGGGUAGUGGCUUACCAAGGCUUUGACGGGUAGCCGGCCUGAGAGGGUGACCGGCCACAUUGGGACUGAGAUACGGCCCAGACUCCUACGGGAGGCAGCAGUGAGGACUAUUGCACAAUGGGCGGAAGCCUGAUGCAGCCACGCCGCGUGCGGGAUGACGGCCUUCGGGUUGUAGACCGCUUUCGCCUGUGACGAAGCGUGAGUGACGGUAAUGGGUAAAGAAGCACCGGCUAACUACGUG
rnacentral:rRNA from 1 species